rnacentral:rRNA from 1 species
AGUGAACGCUGGCGGUAGGCCUAACACAUGCAAGUCGAACGGCAGCACAGUAAGAGCUUGCUCUUACGGGUGGCGAGUGGCGGACGGGUGAGGAAUACAUCGUAAUCUACUUUUUCGUGGGGGAUAACGUAGGGAAACUUACGCUAAUACCGCAUACGACCUACGGGUGAAAGCAGGGGAUCUUCGGACCUUGCUCGAUUGAAUGAGUCGAUGUCGGAUUAGCUAGUUGGCGGGGUAAAGGCCCACCAAGGCGACGAUCCGUAGCUGGUCUGAGAGGAUGAUCAGCCACACUGGAACUGAGACACGGUCCAGACUCCUACGGGAGGCAGCAGUGGGGAAUAUUGGACAAUGGGCGCAAGCCUGACCCAGCAAGCCCGCGUGGGUGAAGAAGGCCUUCGGGUUGUAAAGCCCUUUUGUUGGGAAAGAAAAGCAGCAGGUUAAUACCCCGCUGUUCUGACGGUACCCAAAGAAUAAGCACCGGCUAACUUCGUG